UAUUCUGCACUGGCUGCUGGGCAGGCAGCACUACCGCUCUGGAGAAGGUCUGCCUCUGUCUGUGCCUUCCUGGUUCAUUGCAGGCAGAUGAGUGUCACAGAUGUGACUGAGGCAGAGAAUAAUCAACAUAUCGGAGACAAUUCCCAGGACGGCAAGAGGGGGAACUGGCAGAGGUGACCGUGACGACGACAAGACCAUUCUUCUGACAAGUUUUAGCACGGACUAUCCUCAGGAAAAUGAGAUCCAGGAAGAGUGACGCCCUCCUCGAACUGAAAGAGCUCACCCAUGCAUGAUGUUCCGGUUGACUUCAAAAGCAAGUCUAUGGUUGGAUUAGCUCCACAGGACAGAGAACAAGAUACUCAGGCUGAUGAAGUCAAGAGGUGGUUUAUCAACAGCACAAGCUGGCUGCAGGAAAUGUAUUCAGAGAUGCCCCAGAUUGUCUGCCCAUGGGGACUGAGAUAUCUCUGAGAUUUACAUCAGAAAGGAAGGAGAGGCUGUUUCUACAGGUGCCAUAGAAAAAUCGAUGCCGAGCCACGGCUUAUUGGAUCCCAUAGAACCAUGGAGACUUGGCAGUGAAAUUCUUCCAAAGUUUCUUCUGGAUAUCAAAGAGUUGAAAGGAAAAAAAAACAAAAACAAACCAAAGCUGUUUCUAACUUCUUGGAUGUUGUACUACAUUGCUUGGCAUUCCAUCUGUGCAAGCAGAGGUGUUCCUGGUUUGGGAAGUAUAAAUUCUGUGGGAAGUCAACUGGAGGACGUUUUACGCGUCACUCAUCCUAUUAUGAGCCGGCUGCUCUUCCGUCUCUCGACAAGCCUAAACUUUUAGAUUGGCUGAAAGCAAUCUUUGCUCAAAUUUGGACCACCUAGACAGUAUUCUACUCUGAAAGUAUCCCUGUUCUGUGUAAGACCGCCAACUAGAAGGGCAAAGAAUUAUUUAUAAAACAGCUGAAAGUGAACGUCUUUGGAUUUCCCAUUUAAUGAGUUGGCAGCUAAAGGACAGAAGCAGCAAUAAGGCUGCCUGGCUACAUUUUCAUAGUGCCACCAACCGAGAGUUAAGCUGACAAACAUUUUGAGAGCUCGGCCCAUUUCAUUCCCAGCAGGAAGGCAGGAGUUAACCAAUACAGAAUAAACUAAAAAUUGUGGCUUUAUUGCACAUUUGCACUGAAUCUCAGGACUGAAAAUAGCUACGUUCAGCUCAGCAAGUGGGUGACUGAUUGUCCCUGCCAGCCAGCUAAUAUCAUAAUUAACAAAGUUGCUACCACAUCUGCAAAGUUUAAUCGAAAAAUUUACCAGUGGUAUGAUGGCAUUGUCACCACGAUCCCAAGGGAAUCGGAGUUGACUUCUGCUUCAGGUGGAACGGCAAGGCUGUAUAGCUGAGAUGAGAAACUGUCAGCGUGCUUAGCCAAAGGUUAUGCUUCACAUCACCCACCAGGGAGGAUCAUCUCUCAUGAAAACUUUCAAAUUUGAUUUUGAAAAUUUAUUCAGAAAAAAUUUAAGCCACGUUCUUUCCCAACACAGGAAAUAAUAUGCUCCAGAGAAUCCUCUAAUUCACAGAAAAUGGACUUGGAUAACAUUUGGGUUCUCAUACUACCACAGUCCUCUUGAGAAGGACAGCCAGGGAGGCUGAGAGGGGAAAGAAACUUUUUGAUGGAGAGGCACAAGGGACAGAAGAACCCUGAGCAACAAAUGUCAAGAACAAUACUGGCUGUUCCUUAAAAGAUGGUGACUGUGAGGUGUCUCAAAGACAGUACGAUGGGGACAGCUGUCCUCCCCAUAAAGGGAAAGGAGUGAGGCUGAGAGAAUUUACAACUAGAUUGAUUUUGAGAUGGCAGAAGGAUGGCAUGAAGCAGAUGGCAUGGGAAAGAAAAAAAAUCACUCUGUUUUGGAGGCUAAUAAUGAAGGGGCCAGGGAAGGAGGCCAAUGCUACAGGGUUAUCUCCCAACCUCAGAUGCUGGAUAAGUCUAAGGAAACAGCAUCAUUUCUGGAUGGCUUCAGAAAGGCUGCAGUGAUUGUUUGGAAGAGAAAAACCCGCCUAUUCUUUCAAAGGUACAUGAAUGUUGUCAAGACCUUACCAUCUAAAGGUUCAUCCUCAGAAUUCUGCCUUAGACAAAGGGAUGUGCUCGGAGGCCCACCACACCUAAAACCACGCUUUGAAGGAUCUGCCAAGCUCACUUUUAAUCAUGAGAAAGAAAUUACCCACAUGGAGACAGCAGAAAAUGAGAAAGUAGAGAUCGUGCUGCGAAUAAUUCCAGCGAGUGCCAAGGGGCUAGUUGAGGAAUAGCUUCAUGAGAUGUUAGUCUAUCUAGAACAACACAUUUGGAGCUAAGCUGGACCUUUGAGAAAGAAAAGACUUCGAGGAAAGACACCUCUUCAUAAGGUUUAAUUACUUUUUAAUCUGAAUUGUUUAAUACACACUAUCCAAUUGUGUUCACCUUUUCUGCUUCCUGCGUAUUUCUUCUUUUGCUUGAACUGCUUUAAUAUUGACUAUUGAACUACAUAGUCAUUCUGGAUUUUUAAAAAGAAAAUUCUAAUAAAAACUUAUAUA